rnacentral:rRNA from 2 species
CUGGCGGCAUGCCUAAUACAUGCAAGUCGAACGGGAGUGCUUGCACUCCAGUGGCGAACGGGUGAGUAACACGUAUCUAAUCUACCUAAUAGCGGGGGAUAGCCUUUGGAAACGAAGGGUAAUACCGCAUGAGAACUUCAUUAUCGCAUGAGAAGAAGUUGAAAGCACCGUUUGGUGCACUAUUAGAUGAGGAUGCGGCGUAUUAGCUAGUAGGCGGGGUAAAGGCCCACCUAGGCGAUGAUACGUAGCCGAACUGAGAGGUUGAUCGGCCACAUUGGGACUGAGAUACGGCCCAGACUCCUACGGGAGGCAGCAGUAGGGAAUUUUUCACAAUGGACGAAAGUCUGAUGAAGCAAUGCCGCGUGAGUGAUGAAGGUUUUCGGAUCGUAAAGCUCUGUUGUAAGGGAAGAACACUUAGGAGAGGAAAUGCUCUUAAGCUGACGGUACCUUACCAGAAAGCCACGGCUAACUAUGUGCCAGCAGCCGCGGUAAUACAUAGGUGGCAAGCGUUAUCCGGAUUUAUUGGGCGUAUAGGGUGCGUAGGCGGUUUUGUAAGUUGAAGGUUAAAGCCCGGGGCUCAACCCCGGUUCGCCUUCAAAACUACAUCACUAGAAUACAAGAGAGGUAAGCGGAAUUCCAUGUGUAGCGGUGAAAUGCGUAGAUAUAUGGAAGAACACCUGUGGCGAAAGCGGCUUACUGGCUUGUUAUUGACGCUGAGGCACGAAAGCGUGGGGAGCAAAUAGGAUUAGAUACCCUAGUAGUCCACGCCGUAAACGUUGAGUACUAAGUGUCGGGGGUUAUACCUCGGUGCUGCAGCUAACGCAUUAAGUACUCCGCCUGAGUAGUAUGCUCGCAAGAGUGAAACUCAAAGGAAUUGACGGGGACCCGCACAAGUGGUGGAGCAUGUGGUUUAAUUCGAAGCAACACGAAGAACCUUACCAGGGCUUGACAUCCAAUGCAACGGUAUAGAGAUAUAUCCGAGGUUAACAUUGAGACAGGUGGUGCAUGGUUGUCGUCAGUUCGUGCCGUGAGGUGUUGGGUUAAGUCCCGCAACGAACGCAACCCUUGUCGUUAGUUACUAACAUUAAGUUGAGGACUCUAACGAGACUGCUAGUGUAAGCUAGAGGAAGGUGGGGAUGACGUCAAAUCAUCAUGCCCCUUAUGUCCUGGGCUACACACGUGCUACAAUGGCCGAUACAAAGAGUCGCAAUCUCGCGAGGGGGAGCUAAUCUCAAAAAGUCGGUCUCAGUUCGGAUUGGAGUCUGCAACUCGACUCCAUGAAGCCGGAAUCACUAGUAAUCGCGAAUCAGCUAUGUCGCGGUGAAUACGUUCUCGGGUCUUGUACACACCGCCCGUCACACCAGGAGAGUUGGUAAUACCAGAAGUAGGUAGCUUAACCGUAAGGAGAGCGCUUCCCAAGGUAGGAUUAGC